rnacentral:sRNA from 1 species
GCCAGGUGCAGUGGCGCACGCCUGUAAUCCCAGCAGCUAGGGAGGCUGAAGCAGGAAGAUCUCGAGUUCAAAGCCAGCCUCAGCAAUGGUGAGGCGCUAAGAAACUCCCUGAGAUCCUAUCUCUA